CUACUUCAUAAAGGACAAUGACACUUCUACCUUUUUUAAUUUCUCACCCUGGGAAAAGCUGCACCAUGUCAUGAGAACAUUCAAGCAGUCCCAUGGCAAAGCCCGUGUGAAGAGGAACUGAGGUCUUCAGCUAGACCCAACUUGACAGUCGUAAGCUCUUGAAAAGGACAUCAAGUGUGAAAAGUGAACCGGCUUACUCGCAGGCAGCGCUGGAAUCAUGAGCAGUAACGGAACAGACCUAACCAUUGGUUUCAUCUGCUGCUUUGUAGCCGUCCUUUUGUUUGGCUCAAAUUUUGUACCGCUUAAAAAAUAUGAGACUGGUGAUGGAAUGUUUCUCCAGUGGGUACUUUGUGCUGCCAUAUGGUCGAUUGCCCUUGUGGUCAAUCUGAUACUACAUUGCCCUAAAUUUUGGCCUUUUGCAAUGGUUGGGGGCUGCAUUUGGGCAACAGGGAACAUCGCUGUUGUCCCAGUUAUCAAAACCAUUGGUUUAGGCCUUGGAAUCUUAAUCUGGGGAUCAUUUAAUACAUUAACUGGCUGGGCAAGCUCAAGGUUUGGUUGGUUUGGAAUGGAUGCAGAAGAAGUAUCAAACCCGCUGCUAAAUUACAUUGGAGCUGGAUUAUCAGUAGUAAGUGCUUUCAUAUUUUUGUUCAUCAAAAGUGAAAUACCAAAUAACACAUGUUCGGUGGACACCACACCAUUAAUGACAGAGCAUGUGAUCAACAGCAGUCAAGAUCCCUGUCCUGAUUAUUCCUGGGUGGAUAAACUUUCUAGAGCACAGCAGCGCACAGUGGGCUGCAGUCUUGCAGUGAUAUCUGGAAUACUCUAUGGGUCUACGUUUGUGCCAAUAAUUUAUAUCAAGGACCACAGCAAAAGAAAUGAUAGUAUAUACGCAGGGGCAAGCCAAUAUGAUUUAGACUACGUUUUUGCACACUUCAGUGGCAUCUUUUUUACAAGCACAGUCUACUUUCUGGCCUACUGUAUAGCCAUGAAAAAUAACUUUAAGCUAUAUCCUAAAGCAGUCCUGCCAGGAUUCCUGUCAGGAGUUCUUUGGGCAAUAGCCACCUGCUGUUGGCUCAUAGCUAACCACUCUCUCAGUGCUGUGGUCAGUUUUCCAAUAGUCACUGCGGGUCCAGGAUUUAUAGCUGCAAUGUGGGGUGUCUUCAUGUUUAAGGAAAUAAAGGGUCUACAAAACUACCUAUUGAUGAUAUUUGCAUUUUGCAUCAUCUUGACUGGAGCAUUAUGCACGGCUUUCUCUAAAGUCUAACAAUCCCAAAACCAGCAGAUGGCAGGAGUGGGUAAGAGGACACCGCUGCAGGGCUUGGCCGGAUUAUGCUGAGAACAGAGUUCAUUUUCAUACAGCAAAAGGAUCUCUACCCGUCUUGGACUGGGUUUGCUUCUUGAAUUCUGAUGUUAUACUACUUAGUUCAGAAAAAUUUAUUCCAGUUAGAUCUUCAUUACAGAAGGACGAAGGCUGAAGAAGCAGCUCUAUCUGGAAACUUCUGUUCUCCUGGAAGAAAGAAAAGGGAGAAAGCAGAACCAUGUGAUGGUGUUCAAAACUUCCAAAGUGAUGCCAUUAUUUCCACUCACAUUCACCUUUUCCCGGUCAAUGCCAGUGUCCCAGCCAACUCUGGUAUCAACAGGGUAAAAAGUAUAUUCAUUCAGCAGAGACAGGUUAAACAACUGAGGCACAAGGAGUUUGACUUGCCUAGGAACCUAGAGCUGAUAAGUGCCAGAGCCAGGGUGCAGCUCAGCUAGUCUGGCUUCAAAAUCCAUGCUUUUAACGCAUCCACUCCCUAAUAUUGGCUGCUCAUAUAUGAUCACUAGGGGUACAGAGUAUGUAUUGUACUUAAUGAAAUCAAUUAUACUAUUGCCUGAAAUGCCUCUAAUAAGAGGUAAACCUUUUAUUUCACAACUUAGAGUUAACAGGCUUACCGUCAAAUCCCUGGCUAAAAACAAGAAUUGUUUGUGAAUGAAAAACUCACUACAAGAAAGUCAGUCAACCCAUACAUGAAUUGAACUGGCUAUCAAAUCAUUUACUCAAGUAUUUGUCUUCACCGAAUACAAAUCUAAAAGACUUCCCAGUUUGGCCAAAGAAUGGCCUUGUUUAACUUCCACAGGGUGAGCCAAAUAGAAGCAGUGCUUGGUGUUAUUUGUCCUGCUCAGGAAUUUUGCUCUUCAAGAUUUAUGAAAGUUGUAUUUGUUAAUCAUUUAAAAGUCUUGCUCUCAGGGGAUUGUUUUAUUAAGGUUAUGUCCUUUAUCAUGUGAAAUGUGUGUUUAGUGAUUAGAAUAAUGUAUCAACUGACUCUUUUAAUCUGUAACUUUCCAAAGCACAAAAUUAAUCUACCUUCAGUUGGCUCAACAGGAAGCCAAUCACAAAGGGAAUCAAAGUUUUCAACUGGAGAUCAAACUUCUUUGAGUGAAAAAAUUAUUUGAAGGGAUGUCUACUUUUCUUUGAUAUAUAAUUCCGAAAUUGGUACUGCUAACAUUUUAAAAUUUUAAAAGAUUUGAAAAAAAAAGAUUAAAGUGUCAGACGAAAUUAAUAUAAUUGAUUUCCAAACAACUUGUUUCACUGUCAUCACAUGUUCCUUCAGUAUAGCAGGACUGCCUGUGCCUAUGCCGUAUCCUAUGCAAACAGCUGUGCUAGGCGGAACUUUAAAAUCGUCCAUGCUGUGAUGAUGUCCCAACUUCCACUUGAUAGAACAGCUAUCUGAUGAAGGACAACCAAUGAAAAUGCAGAUGACCCUUGGAUCAGAUUUAGAAUGCUGCUUCAACAAUUUACUAAACCCUACUAGUCUCUUAGGUGUGGACAAGUUAGAGUCGAGGUUUUGCUUGAACUGUGGCAGCGCAGCUUUGUAUUAGAAUUUACAUUAGAAUUAAGGUGAAGCAUCGUGCAGAGGGUCAUGUUCAAGACUUUGGACAUAAUAAUUUUCAGCAAUAGCUAAUAGGAAGAACAUACAGCUUGAUGUCAGAGAGGCAAGGGUUAAAAUCCCAAUCUGCCACCUACCAGUAGUGUGAUACUGGAUAAUUUAAUUAACUUCUCCAAGCCUCGGUUUCUUUAUCUAUUAUGAAGACCCGCUAUUUGCCAGACUGCCGAAGAGCACAGAAGUGGGGAUGGCAACGUUCCAGAGGCUGGUCACACAAAGAAGCAGAGAAUGAAUGCUUAAGCUGGGAGCCUGGAACACAAGGUGGUAUCAGUGGUCAUUAAAACGAAAAUGAGUUCACAAAAAAGGCCAAACCCCAAAUUGGUUUAACCAGGUUGUAAGGGACAAAGCAAAAAGUAACAACAGCUACAAUAAUGAAGUAGUGUCAGAUGCAUGUUAAAGUCACAACAGAAGAAAAGAUAAUGUGCCUGUCAGAACUCAAGGGGGUUUUUUGUUGUUGUUGUUGUUUGGUUUGGUUUUUUUCUGACUUCCCUGUGACAGAUUCUUCAUCCAGGACUUUUUAGAGGGUCUGAGAACCAUUUCUGACUAUGUGAAACUCAGUUUUCACAAUAUAAAAUAAAAAUUUUAAAUAUCA